AGCGAACGCUGGCGGCAGGCUUAACACAUGCAAGUCGAGCGCCCCGCAAGGGGAGCGGCAGACGGGUGAGUAACACGUGGGAACGUACCCUUCAGUUCGGAACAACCCAGGGAAACUUGGGCUAAUACCGGAUACGUCCGUAAGGAGAAAGAUUUAUCGCUGAAGGAUCGGCCCGCGUCUGAUUAGCUAGUUGGUGGGGUAAUGGCCCACCAAGGCUACGAUCAGUAGCUGGUCUGAGAGGAUGAUCAGCCACAUUGGGACUGAGACACGGCCCAAACUCCUACGGGAGGCAGCAGUGGGGAAUAUUGGACAAUGGGGGCAACCCUGAUCCAGCCAUGCCGCGUGAGUGAUGAAGGCCCUAGGGUUGUAAAGCUCUUUUAGCAGGGAAGAUAAUGACGGUACCUGCAGAAAAAGCCCCGGCUAACUUCGUGCCAGCCGCCGCAGUAAGAC
rnacentral:rRNA from 1 species